GGGACGAACGCUGGCGGCGUGCUUAACACAUGCAAGUCGAGCGGAAAGGCCUUUCGGGGUACUCGAGCGGCGAACGGGUGAGUAACACGUGAGUAAUCUGCCCAUCGCUUCAGGAUAGCCAUCGGAAACGUGAUUAAUACUGGAUAUGACAUUCCUUCGCAUGUUGGGGUGUGGUAAAGUUUUUCGGUCGGUGGAUGUGCUCGCGGCCUAUCAGCUUGUUGGUGGGGUAAUGGCCUACCAAGGCUUUGGACGGGUAGCCGGCCUGAGG
rnacentral:rRNA from 1 species